GACACGAUGGCCGAGUGGUUUAUGGCGUGGGAUUUGAGUCCCCAUGGGUUUACCCGCAUCAGUUCGAAUCUGGUUCGUGUCG